rnacentral:rRNA from 1 species
UACGAAGGGGGCUAACGUUGCUCGGAAUCACUGGGCGUAAAGCGCACGUAGGCGGCUUCUUAAGUCAGGGGUGAAAUCCUGGAGCUCAACUCCAGAACUGCCCUUGAUACUGAGGAGCUCGAGUCCGGAAGAGGUGAGUGGAACUCCGAGUGUAGAGGUGAAAUUCGUAGAUAUUCGGAAGAACACCAGUGGCGAAGGCGGCUCACUGGUCCGGUACUGACGCUGAGGUGCGAAAGCGUGGGGAGCAAACAGG